AAUGUUUUUGUCCCUUUUUUCGAUGUUUUCGAUGCCAUUUUGCACCAACACCAACUUAUUCCACUAGUUUUACACUUAUUUUUGGAAUUCAUGGUCAAUAAAUCUCACUUAUAAGAAAUUAUACCUAAAUUUGAAAUGAUGAAUGAUUUUGACUAAUAUUAGAGGGACGUAUGUUGAUGGAUAAUCACAGAUGUGUAUCUCAAAGUUUAGACAGGUUUUAAGUCCAUUUACAUUUUUUCAAAUUAUACAAAAUUGAAUACCCAAAAUUCAAUGAAAGAAAU